rnacentral:snRNA from 1 species
AUACUUCCCUGGUAGGGGAGAGUUGAUGACCACAGAGGUGGUUUUCCAGGAUGAGGUUUAUUGAUUACACUUGGAUGUGCUGACUUCUGCAAUUUUCCCAAAUGAGGAAAAUUCUACAUAGUCUUUGAUAC